rnacentral:rRNA from 1 species
GACGAACGCUGGCGGCGCGCUUAACACAUGCCAGUCGAACGGAAAGGCCUGCUUUCCCUUGUGGAUUGCGGGUACUCGAGUGGCGAACGGGUGAGUAACACGUGAGUGAUCUGCCCCCAACUUGGGUAUAAGCCUGGGAAACUGGGUCUAAUUCCCGAUAGGACUGCAGGGUGGUGCCUGUGGUGGAAAACGAUUUUCUAGUGGUUGGGGAUGAGCUCGCGGCCUAUCAGCUUGUUGGUGGGGUAAUGGCCUACCAAGGCGGCGACGGGUAGCCGGCCUGGGAGGGUGGACGGCCACAUUGGGACUGAGAGACGGCCCAGACUCCUACGGGAGGCAGCAGUGGGGAAUAUUGCACAAUGGGCGGAAGCCUGAUGCAGCGACGCCGCGUGGGGGAUGACGGCCUUCGGGUUGUAAACUCCUUGCGACCGCGAGGAAGCCACCUGGUUGGAAGGGUGGUGACGGUAGUGGUAGAAGAAGCACCGGCUAACUACGUG